UCUAGAACUCUAGAUAUGAGUUAAAUACCGAACAUUGUAUAGGUUGUAUGACAAAUUCAAACUUCCUUUUUGUUGCUAAGAUUCGUACUUACAAAAGGUAGUAUUGAGUCUUGGGAUUUUCAUGAAUGUUUUAUGUCUCCAUCUUAUCUUUCCAUC
rfam:Populus trichocarpa scaffold_485_contig_5, whole genome shotgun sequence.